UUUUCUUUAACGUUGUUAAGUAUGAAAUUUCAAUCCUGUAAUUCAUCUGUUUGUAAGAAAUUGCAUAAUCUCCUUCCAUUAUGUGUAAAUGCUUGAUUUAUUUUUUUAGGCCCAUUCUAUACACACCCCCCUCCUUCCUGAUUACACCCCCCUUGUGAGAGGAAAACUGUCGGUCCCACGCAGGCCCCACCUGUAAGUAUGUGAGAGGAGGGGGGUGAAAAAAGUAAAUAGAGGGUGUAGAAAGUAGCACCCUUUUUUAAAGGAGUUAUGUAUGAACUCGGCCUUACAUCAGCUUACAUCUGCUGUAAAAACUGAUUAAUGAUAUUCCCUUUUACAGUGGCUGCCGUAAAUGGAAAAAAACUAGUUUUUUUUAGAAAAGUUGAUUUUUUGAGUUUUGGUAAGGUUUCUUUUUAUAAAAAUUUUUUGUAUGGCUGAAUUUUCUAAGUUUUAUAAAAAUUGUUUUUAUAAAAACAAUUACUGUAUGUACAAAUGGUGCGAUACUAACAAUAAGAGUUCUUACUAUAGCUGGAUAUAGGGAAGCCUCAUUUUUGACAUUAAUUACCAUAUUUAGUGAAUAAUUGUGAAAAAAAAAACCACUUACAAUCUAGAUUUAAUUUGGAUACAUCACUGACAACACCGACUGAAUAUUUAAUUAGACUCUUUAUGACAAAAUGUGAAAGACACGUAUUCGAAAAUUUAGUUCAUUAAAAAUCUCUAGAAAAACAAACGAUUUUACAAUCGAUGUUAAUAUUAAGUUGAUGGACGAAAGUCAAAUGUGUUAUAAACCUCACUAAAAACUCAACAAAAAAACGAUUAAAACUCUUGCAUCAAAGGCUAAUAAUUACAUUCAAGUUUUGUUAGCUUUAAGCAACUUUUAGGAUGAUUCAAAUGGCAUAAUCGGCUUUGUAUUAGUCAUUUCUGGUAUUUAUCCAUGAUAGGGAUAAGCUUUUGGUACUGAUUACUGAUAUCAAAUUUUCGGUACCGAAUUUUACAUUCAAUUACCGAUACCGUAUCGAAUGUAUUGGUGCCGUUCCUAGUUUUGACGAAUUUCGGUACCGGUGCUGGUUCGGAACGGUACUGGUACCACGAUCCCUAAUCUAUGAUUUACAUUUUGAAAUCUGUUAUUGGGAAAGAAGCCCAAACUCAACCCGUAACUCAGACAACAGGUUAAGACAAAUCAUACGUGAGACUUACAAUUUACUUUCGCAAGCAAAAAUACUUAUUUUCACGUUGGAUGAUGUUUACGAGAAAAACCUCUCAUUAUUGUAAUGAGACUUACCGUGUUUAGUUUUACAGAUUAAUCACCAUGAAAACUUGUUACGAUCAAAGCCUCAUUAUCCCGUUGAGCAUAGUCUAAACCAGUCAGUUAGAUUUGUGUUUCCUCAAUUAGUUAGAUUAGUGAACACAUUUUCAAGUCGAAACCUCGUAAGUUUUACAUGUAUUCCACUAUAGAGGGUCGUUCUUUUUGUUCUUUUGUGAUUGCCCUUUCAAAAAAAGAAAAAAAAAAGUAACAUUUAGGCCAGGAAACUAAAGAUUCAGAAAAAAAUAUUUGAGUUAUUUAUCUAAGUUAGCUUGUCAUCAAGUGCUACGUCAAGAAAAAAUCGACCAGUCAAAACUUGCUGACAUUCAAUUGUGACGUCUUUAUUUUGACUGGUUAGCGGAAUUUUUUGAUUUCGAUUUUUUUUUUCUGGCAAAAACAAAAACAAAGUUGGCUACCCAAAAUAGAAUUUGGACUAAAGUUUAUUCCUUUUUUUUUUAUUUUGUAAUUACUCCAUUAAAUAUCUCCGAACUCGAAGAGUCUUGUGCAUAAGCAGCAUACUUUACAAAAAUCAUAAGCAUAUAUGUAAUCAAAUUAACAUUAAUCUUAAUUUAUUGCAUAUAUGUAAUCAAGUUUCAACCUUUGUUUUUGGAUUGUAUUUAAACUGAACUUCUAGUGUUUCAGAUUGAUAUUUGUUUGAGCCGACUAGUCUUGACGCAAUAACAUGCAGAGCCGUACCCGAGAACUUUAAAAAAAUUUAUGCCUCGGGCGUCAAAAAAAAAUAAAAAAAAAGGGCCCAAAAUUUUGGUUAAGAGGAAAUGAAUUAAAAAAACAAAAGCUUGGUGGCGGAGCUAACAAUUGAACUUGAGACAUUUACAUUAUCUUAAGAUAGUUUUUUCCACUCCACCACCAACACUUUUAAAUAUAUAAUUUAGUAGAUAUAUAAAAGCUUUUAGAAACCUUUCAAGCCCUUUAAAAAUUUGGUUGACCCAAGAGCCGGCCUGAUAACAUGGCUGAACCAUGGUCAGGCCAUGCAUCGAACAUGCAUUGCCCGGUGAUUAUUUUAGAUUUGAAUAAUUAUAUUUAG
rnacentral:lncRNA from 1 species